CUAUUGGUGUUCGACUAAGCCAUGCAAGUCAUAUGUUCCUCGUGAACAUGGCAUACUGCUCAGUAACACGUGGAUAACCUGCCCUUGGGUCUGGGAUAACCCCGGGAAACUGGGGAUAAUACCGGAUAACGCAUAUGUGCUGGAAUGCUUUAUGCGUAAAACGGAUUCGUCCGCCCAAGGAUGGGUCUGCGGCCUAUCAGGUAGUAGUGGGUGUAAUGUACCUACUAGCCAACAACGGGUACGGGUUGUGAGAGCAAGAGCCCGGAGAUGGAUUCUGAGACAUGAAUCCAGGCCCUACGGGGCGCAGCAGGCGCGAAAACUUUACAAUGCGGGAAACCGUGAUAAGGGAACACCGAGUGCCAGCAUCAUAUGCUGGCUGUCCAGAUGUGUAAACUACAUCUGUUAGCAAGGGCCGGGCAAGACCGGUGCCAGCCGCCGCGGUAACACCGGCGGCCCGAGUGGUGACCGUUAUUAUUGGGUCUAAAGGGUCCGUAGCCGGUUUGGUCAGUCCUCCGGGAAAUCUGAUAGCUUAACUGUUAGGCUUUCGGGGGAUACUGCCAGGCUUGGAACCGGGAGAGGUAAGAGGUACUACAGGGGUAGGAGUGAAAUCUUGUAAUCCCUGUGAGACCACCUGUGGCGAAGGCGUCUUACCAGAACGGGUUCGACGGUGAGGGACGAAAGCUGGGGGCACGAACCGGAUUAGAUACCCGGGUAGUCCCAGCCGUAAACUAUGCUCGCUAGGUGUCAGGCAUGGCGCGACCGUGUCUGGUGCCGCAGGGAAGCCGUGAAGCGAGCCACCUGGGAAGUACGGCCGCAAGGCUGAAACUUAAAGGAAUUGGCGGGGGAGCACAACAACGGGUGGAGCCUGCGGUUUAAUUGGACUCAACGCCGGACAACUCACCGGGAACGACAGCAAUAUGUAGGCCAGGCUGAAGACCUUGCCUGAAUCGCUGAGAGGAGGUGCAUGGCCGUCGCCAGUUCGUACUGUGAAGCAUCCUGUUAAGUCAG
rnacentral:rRNA from 1 species